rnacentral:rRNA from 1 species
UACGAAGGGGGCUAGCGUUGCUCGGAAUGACUGGGCGUAAAGGGCGCGUAGGCGGUUUGUACAGUCAGAUGUGAAAUCCCCGGGCUCAACCCGGGAAGUGCAUUUGAUACUGUUUAGCUUGAGUAUGGAAGAGGGUAGUGGAAUUCCUGGUGUAGUGGUGAAAUACGUAGAUAUCAGGAGGAACACCGGUGGCGAAGGCGGCUACCUGGUCCUAUACUGACGCUGAGAUACGAAAGCGUGGGGAGCAAACAGG